rnacentral:rRNA from 1 species
AGAGUUUGAUCCUGGCUCAGGAUGAACGCCGGCGGUGUGCCUAAUACAUGCAAGUCGAACGCGUUGGCCCAACUGAUUGACGAUGCUUGCAUCAGAUUGACGUUGGAUUUCUAACGAGUGGCGGACGGGUGAGUAACACGUAGGUAACCUGCCCAGAAGCGGGGGAUAACAUCUGGAAACAGGUGCUAAUACCGCAUAACAAUUCAAAUCGCAUGGUUUGAAUUUAAAAGAUGGCUCUGCUAUCACUUCUGGAUGGACCUGCGGCGCAUUAGCUUGUUGGUAGGGUAAUGGCCUACCAAGGCAGUGAUGCGUAGCCGAGUUGAGAGACUGAUCGGCCACAAUGGGACUGAGACACGGCCCAUACUCCUACGGGAGGCAGCAGUAGGGAAUCUUCCACAAUGGGCGCAAGCCUGAUGGAGCAACACCGCGUGAGUGAAGAAGGGUUUCGGCUCGUAAAGCUCUGUUGUUGAAGAAGAACGUGCAUGAGAGUAACUGUUCAUGCAGUGACGGUAUUCAACCAGAAAGUCACGGCUAACUACGUGCCAGCAGCCGCGGUAAUACGUAGGUGGCAAGCGUUAUCCGGAUUUAUUGGGCGUAAAGAGAGUGCAGGCGGUUUCUUAAGUCUGAUGUGAAAGCCUUCGGCUCAACCGAAGAAGUGCAUCGGAAACUGGGAGACUUGAGUACAGAAGAGGGCAGUGGAACUCCAUGUGUAGCGGUGGAAUGCGUAGAUAUAUGGAAGAACACCAGUGGCGAAGGCGGCUGCCUGGUCUGUAACUGACGCUGAGACUCGAAAGCAUGGGUAGCGAACAGGAUUAGAUACCCUGGUAGUCCAUGCCGUAACGAUGAGUGCUAGGUGUUGGAGGGUUUCCGCCCUUCAGUGCCGGAGCUAACGCAUUAAGCACUCCGCCUGGGGAGUACGACCGCAA